UCUCUCUCUCUCUCUCUCUCUCUCUCUCUCUCUCUCUCUCUCUCUCGUUCCUAGUACAAUUUUUUCAUUUGAUCUGAAACAAACUUCCACGGGGGUUUUCUAUCUAACAAUCAAGAUUCCACAAGCAAUCACAAAUGUGCAUCUCAUCUCAUAUCACUCCUACUAGCAACACUCUCCCAUCCCAACCUCUUCAAAUUGCAUUCAGAUCCCGAUGAUGACUCCCUCCCCUCCGACUAUUACCGUACUCUGAUUUCUCCUUUAGUGAUUGUGGAUCGAUGACAUCAACCAUAGGAAGGAAUCGGGUAAGAAGCAAGUGACGCCUGAAAAGCCACCAACAAAAUUGACCGGUGAAGAAAAUGGUGGAAAUCGAUAACUUCCACUACAUCCCACCGUACCCUCAUCCCUCUUUCUCUUAUCUAUCCGAGUCAAACGGAUAAGGAAUUAUCAAUUGGGGCAAGACCAGCAAUGUGAGAUUCCAUAAACCAGGACACGGGUAUUUCUUGUAUUUAGGGCAAAAAAUACACCGACUUUACAUGCCCAAAUUUGUUGUCCCUAAAAUCAGCAAGAUGAGAAUCAUUACUCGGAUUCAGUAUAUCGAUUGUUGAUGGUGUAUAUUUGGUGUUUUGUUUUAGUUAAUGGUUUGCUUCUCAUGAAACUCUUGAACGAAGUGGAAGACAUGUGUGAUUAUUCAAGUUCAUCAUAGAAGUUGUUUUCUUCCGUCUUUGUUGCUGAAAAGCUCAUGAGAUUAAGAUAUGAGAGAUGAUAUUCAUCAAAGAAUGUAUUUUGUAGGUUUAGUGUCAAACGAGUUUCAUCUUCUGUGGUUUGGAUGUGUAUUGUUUUCAGGUAUGAUUUUGAUUAUAAGGUUCGGUUUUGAGAUUUGAUUCCAUGUAUUAUUUUGGUAUGGUUUUGAGCUUUGAUUUCAGGUUUGAUAGCUUGAUUUUAUAUGUGGUUUUGACCAAUGAUUUCAAGUGUUUUAUUUGGUGUAAGUGGUAAUCGAUGGGGUGGUAGUGGUAAUCAAAAGUGAAGGGCAAUGUUGAUGGUGAUUGACGGAGGUGAAGGAUAACAGUGACUAUGGUGGUUGGUGGAUCUCUAACUAGGGGAAAGAGAGAGAGAGAGAGAGAGAGAGAUAGAGAGAGAGAGAAAGUAUGUGUGUGUGCGAGGUUGGCCCAAUGAAUUAUUUAUUUUGUUUUUCUAUUUUUUAAAUAGGAUUAGGUAAAAUUAAUUGUAACAACCAAAAAUACGACCCAAAUUUUUUUGUUUUAAUAAUAAUAAAAUCAUAAACUAAUCGUGAUAUCAUGAAACCAUAU
rnacentral:lncRNA from 1 species